UGCCUGAUGGAGGGGGAUAACUACUGGAAACGGUAGCUAAUACCGCAUAACGUCGCAAGACCAAAGAGGGGGACCUUCGGGCCUCUUGCCAUCGGAUGUGCCCAGAUGGGAUUAGCUAGUAGGUGGGGUAACGGCUCACCUAGGCGACGAUCCCUAGCUGGUCUGAGAGGAUGACCAGCCACACUGGAACUGAGACACGGUCCAGACUCCUACGGGAGGCAGCAGUGGGGAAUAUUGCACAAUGGGCGCAAGCCUGAUGCAGCCAUGCCGCGUGUAUGAAGAAGGCCUUCGGGUUGUAAAGUACUUUCAGCGGGGAGGAAGGGAGUAAAGUUAAUACCUUUGCUCAUUGACGUUACCCGCAGAAGAAGCACCGGCUAACUCCGUGCCAGCAGCCGCGGUAAUACGGAGGGUGCAAGCGUUAAUCGGAAUUACUGGGCGUAAAGCGCACGCAGGCGGUUUGUUAAGUCAGAUGUGAAAUCCCCCGG
rnacentral:rRNA from 2 species